GGGUGUGAUCACACUAGCACUAAUGCACCGGAUCCUAUUAGAACUCUGCAGUUAAGCGUGCUUGGGUAAGAGUAGUACUAGGAUGGGUGACCUCCUAGGAAGUCCUCUUGUUGCAUCCU